GGCUCAGGACGAACGCUGGCGGCGCGCCUAACACAUGCAAGUCGAGCGAGAACCAGGGCUUCGGCUCUGGGGAAAGCGGCGAACGGGUGCGUAACACGUGAGCAACCUGCCCCGAAGACCGGGACAAGCCGGGGAAACCUGGUCUAAUACCGGAUGUCCUCACCGGAUCGCAUGGUCUGGUGAGGAAAUGGAUUCCGCUUCGGGAUGGGCUCGCGGUCUAUCAGCUUGUUGGUGGGGUAAUGGCUCACCAAGGCGACGACGGAUAGCUGGUCUGAGAGGACGAUCAGCCACACUGGGACUGAGACACGGCCCAGACUCCUACGGGAGGCAGCAGUGGGGAAUCUUGCGCAAUGGGGGAAACCCUGACGCAGCGACGCCGCGUGCGGGAUGAAGGCCUUCGGGCUGUAAACCGCUUUCAGCAGGGACGAAAUUGACGGUACCUGCAGAAGAAGGCCCGGCCAACUACGUGCCAGCAGCCGCGGUAAUACGUAGGGGCCUAGCGUUGUCCGGAUUUAUUGGGCGUAAAGAGCUCGUAGGCGGUUCGGCAAGUCGGAUGUGAAAUCUCCACGCUUAACGUGGAGGGGCCAUUCGAAACUGCUGUGACUCGAGUCCGGUAGGGGAGUGUGGAAUUCCCGGUGUAGCGGUGAAAUGCGCAGAUAUCGGGAGGAACACCAGUAGCGAAGGCGGCACUCUGGGCCGGUACUGACGCUGAGGAGCGAAAGCGUGGGGAGUGAACAGGAUUAGAUACCCUGGUAGUCCACGCCGUAAACGUUGGGCACUAGGUGUGGGACUCUAUCGACGGGUUCCGUGCCGUAGCUAACGCAUUAAGUGC
rnacentral:rRNA from 1 species